AAACGGGCAAUUUUGGGCAAAAAGGGGCAUUUUGGGGCUGGAAAUGACUUGUUUUGGUGGGGAGAAGGGCCAUUUUGGGGCAAAAAAGGCCAAUUUUGGGGCAAAAAGGGUCGUUUUUUGGGCAAAAAAAGGCCAUUUUGGGGGCAAAAAAGGCCAUUUUGGGGCUCGAAAUGGGGCAUUUUGGGGCAAAAAUGGCCAUUUUGGGGGCAAAAAGGGCCAUUUUGGAGCUGGAAAUGGGGCAUUUUGGGGCAAAAAGGGGCAAUUUUGGGCAAAAAGGGGCAAUUUUGGGGCAAAAAAAGGACAUUUUGGGGCCAAAAGUGUUGUUUUUUGGGUGGAAAAGGGGCAUUUUGGGGGCAAAAAAGGCCAUUUUGGGGCUGGAAAUGGGUCAUUUUGGGGCAAAAAUGGUCGUUUUUAGGGGGAAAAGAGGCAUUUUGGGGGAGAAAAGGGUCCUUUUUGGGGGAAAAAGUGCCAUUUUGGGGCAAAAAUGGUCAUUUUUUGAGGGGAAAACAGGCAUUUUGGGGCAAAAAAAGGCCAUUUUUGGGGCAAAAAGGCCAUUUUGGGGCUGGAAAUGAGCUGUUUUGGGGGGAAGAAGAGCCAUUUUGGGGCAAAAAUGGCCAUUUUGGGGCAAAAAGGGUCAAUUUGGGGGGGGAAAUGGGUGUUUUGGGGUCAAAAAAGGCCAUUUUUGGGCUGGAAAUGGGGCAUUUUGGGGCAAAAAGGGGCAAUUUUGGGCAAAAAAAGGUCAUUUUAGGGGCAAAAAAGGCCAUUUUGGGGCCAAAAGUGUCGUUUUUUGGGUGGAAAAGGGGCAUUUUGGGGCAAAAAUGGCCAGUUUUGGGGCAAAAAGGGUCAAUUUGUGGGGGAAAAUGGGUGUUUUGGUGGCAAAAAUGGUCAUUUUGGAGCUGGAAAUGGGUCAUUUUGGGGCAAAAAAGGCCAUUUUGGGGUGCAAAGAGCCCAUUUUUGGGGCAAUAAAGGCCAUUUUGGGGCUGGAAAUGAGCUGUUUUGGGGCAAAAAGGGCAAUUUUUGGGGGAAAAGGGGCAAUUUUGGGGGGAAAAAGGGCCAUUUUGGGGCAAAAAUGGCCAGUUUAGGGGCAAAAAGGGUCUAUUUGGGGGAGAAAAUGGUCAUUUUUGGGGGGAAAAUGGGCAUUUAGGGCAAAAAUGGCCAAUUUUGGGGCAAAAAUGGUUGGUUUUUUGGGGGAAAAGGGUCAUUUGGGGGCAAAAAAAGGCCAUUUUGGGGCUGGAAAAUGCUGUUUUGGGGGGAAAACGAGCCAUUUUGAGGGGAGAAA
rnacentral:lncRNA from 1 species